UACGAAGGGUGCAAGCGUUACUCGGAAUUACUGGGCGUAAAGCGUGCGUAGGUGGUCUGUUAAGUCUGAUGUGAAAGCCCUGGGCUCAACCUGGGAAUUGCAUUGGAUACUGGCAGGCUAGAGUGCGGUAGAGGGUAGUGGAAUUCCCGGUGUAGCAGUGAAAUGCGUAGAGAUCGGGGAGGAACACCAGUGGCGAAGGCGACUACCUGGACCAGCACUGACACUGAGGCACG
rnacentral:rRNA from 1 species